rnacentral:lncRNA from 1 species
UUUCAAGCUUGCAGUGGUGCUGCAUGGGAUUGGACAAGUUCAAGCCUGCUGAUUGGCUAGAAUUUGAACCUGCUAAUUGGUUCAAAUCUGAGUCUGCUAAUUGGUCCAAAUUCCAACCUUCUGUGGCCAAGGCAAAUAACUCCUGGAGCUGCUGCAAGGUAUCUAGGACAGCUGCAGGGAGGCCAGGAAGAGAGGUGACAGGCUCUUAGCAACCCCUGUGACCCCAAGUCCAGCAGUGGCCACUAGGCGAGAGAGGGGAUGCAGCUGCCCCCAGAACUGGCCCCAAGACAACGUCAGUGCUUCUCAAGAAAAUUCCAAGCUGUGCAGCAGGGUCAUUUCUGGGACGCUGCAUCCAGGUCUCGCCCGAGGAUACCCAUACUCUGGUCCACGAGCAGCAGGGAAGAGCGCCGGGGCAGCUGGGGACAUGUCCUCCUCCCCUGUAAUGAGCGGGGGCUCCUUUCCAGGACCCCUGUAGCACAAAGCACCUGCUCUGAGAAGAUCUGCUGGCCCCCACUGUGUCUCCUGGGCAGCUGCUUCCUCACCUUCAUCAUCAUCAUCAUCAUCAUCAUGGGAAUAAAUGCACAGUGGGAGGCCCCAU